AAAGGUUAGGGAUGAAGGGAAUGGUUUUAACAAGGAGGAACAAGAAAUGCCUAUUCUAGGGACUAUGAUUUAAGAAAAAGGUAAGUUUCAUGAAGGAGAAGAGUUAUCAAGAGCUAAUAUUUGGAUUUCUUGGCUUGAUUUAAGUGUAGCCAUUUGUGUGAUUGUUGUGUGAUUGUGAGAAUUAAUUAAGCAAACUAUCAUUUUUGUAAUUAUUUCAAAGCUCUUCCUCCCUUUUGAAACCCACUUGCACAUGGCAUGGGUGUUCUCUAUGAGUCUUAUGUAUGUGUUACAUAAUUAAUUAUAUGUUUUUAUAUUAUACUUCAAAAUACAAAUUU
rnacentral:misc_RNA from 1 species